rnacentral:lncRNA from 1 species
AUAUACCCGGUUGGUAUGCCCCGCAUUUGUGGUCUCCUCUCUUGGCUUUGGAGCCCCCCUCCCUCUGUCUCUGUACGGGGGUGCCUUCUUCUUUUCUUCUUCUCCCUUCUUUCUUGCCUAUUAAACUCUCCACUUCUUAAUACCACUACACGUGUAUCUGUGUCAUUUUAUCCAAUUUGCAUGAGACAAGAGCCCUGGUGCCCCUCCACUCAUCAGAGCCGUAUCAUUUUGGUGCAUGGGCCAGGAAAAUCCAAAGUACAGCCUUCGUUGGAGUGUGCUUGAGAUAUUUUGCAGACCCUGCACUUGAUGGAUCAGCUGGCACCACCCAGAUCAAUAAACUGGCUCAUCUGAUCUUGUGGCCCCCACCCAGAACUGACUCUGCAAGAAGACAGCUCUGACUCCUGAUGAUUUCAUCUCUGACCAAUCUGCACUCCCAGAUCCCAGCACUUUGGGAGGACCAGACAGGCAGAUCACAAGGUCAGGAUGAGAGGUGACAGCGUGCUGGCAGCCCUCACUCACUCUGGGCGCCUCCUCGGCCUCCACGCCAACUCUCCCUGCGCUUGAGGAGCCCUUCAGCCCGCCGCUGCACUGUGGGAGCCCCUCUCUGGGCUGGCCGAGGCGGGAGCCCGCUCCCUCUGCUUGCCAGAGGUGUGGAGGGAGAGGCGCGGACGGGAACUGGGGCUGCGGGCCACGCUCGAGGGCCAGCAUGAGUUCCGGGUGGGCGUGGGCUCGGUGGGCCCCGCACUCAGAGAGGCCGGCUGGCGCCAUUGGCCCCAGGCAGUGAGGGGCUUAGCACCCAGACCAGCAGCUGCAGAGGGUGCGCCAGGUCCCCCAGCAGUGCCAGCCCACAGGUGCACUUGAAUUCUCGCAGGCCUCAGCUGCCUCCCCACGGGGCAGGGCUUGGGACCUGCAGCCCGCCAUGCCCAAGCGUCCCCCUGCCUGGGCUCCUGCACCGCCCCCUGCUCUGCGGGGCCUGGUCCCAUCAACCGCCCAAGGGCUGAGGAGUGCAGGCACAGGAUUGGUGGGCAGCUCCACCUGCAGCCCAGGUGCUAGGUCCACUAGGUGAAGCCAGCUGGGCUCUUGAGUCUAGUGGGCACUUGGAGAACCUUUAUGUCUAGCUAAGGGAUUGUAAAUACACCAAUCAGCACUCUGUGUCUAGCUCAAGGUUUGUAAACACACCAAUCAGCACCCUGUCAAAAUGGACCAAUCAGCUCUCUAUAAAACAGACCAGUUGGCUCUCUGUAAAAUGGGCCAAUCAGCAGGAUGUGGGUGGGGCCAGAUAAGGCAAUAAAAGCAGGCUGCCAGAGCCAGCAGUGGCAACUCGGCGUACCCUUCCACAUAGGAAGCUUUGUUCUUUUGAUCUUUCCAAUAAAUCUUGCUGCUGCUUAUCCUGGGUCUGCACUGCCUUUAUGAGCUGUAACAUCGUGAAGGUCUGCAGCUUCACGCCAGAGGCCAGCGAGACCACGAACCCACCAGAAGGAAGAAACUCGGAACACGUCCGAACAUCAGAAGGAACAAACUCCGGACAUGCCGCCUUUAAGAACUGAAACACUCACCGUGAGGGUCCGCAGCUUCAUUCUUGAAGUCAGUGAGACCAAGAACCCGCCAAUUCUGGACACAAGGAGAUCGAGACCAUCCUGGCUAACACGGUGAAACCCCAUCUCUACUAAAAAUACAAAAAAUUUAUUAGGCGUGUUGGCGGAUGCCUGUAGUCCCAGCUAGUCCCAGCUACUCCCAGCUACUUGGGAGGCUGAGGCGGGAGAAUGGCAUGAACCUGGGAGGCGGAGCUUGCAGUGAGCCGAGAUUGCGCCACUGCCCUCAAGCCUGGGCGACAGAGCAAGACUCCAUCUCAAAAAAACAAAACAAAAACAAACAAAAAAACCCUCUGUUUCCCGAAUGCUCAGGGAGACUGAUUUGAGUAAUAAUAAAACUCCUGGCUGGACACAGUGGCUCACGCCUGUAAUUUCAGCAAUUUGGGAGGCCAAGGCCGGUGGAUCACCUUAGGUUGGGAGUUUGAGACCAGCGUGACCAACAUGGAGAAAACACUGUCUCUACUAAAAAUACAAAAUUAGCCAGGUGUGGUGGCAAGUGCCUGUAAUCCCAGCUACUCAGGAGGCUGAGGCAGGAGAAUCACUUAAACCCUGGAGGCGGAGGUUGCAGUGAGCCGAGGUGGCACCAUUGUACUCCAGCCUGGGCAAAAAGAGCAAAACCGUCAAAAAAAAAAAAAAAAAAAAAAAAAAAACUCCGGUCUCCUGCACAGCUGGCUCUGUGUGAAUUACUCUUUAUUGCAAUUUUGCUGUCUUGAUGAAUCGGCUAUGUGUAGGCAGCGGGCAAGGUGAACCCCUUUGGCAGUUACAGGGGGAAGCUAAGGCUCAGGACACUCGCAGAAACCUGAGGAGGCUAGAAUUUUACCAGAUUACAAGCCUUAAAAUCAAACCUGAAGUUAGUGCCAGCGAACAACACGCUUAAAAAUAACUAAGAUGUUCUUUCUGGCUGUUCUAGAGGUCAAUAUAGAAAAAUGAUAGUAACUUUGAUGUUAUUUUAUGUUAUGUAUUUCUUUUUUUCUUUUGAGACGGAGUCUGUCUCUGUUGCCCAGGCUGGAGUGCGGUGACGCAAUCUUGGCUCACUGCAACCUCCGCCUCCCGGGUUCAAGAUAUUCUUCUGCUUCAGCCAUCCAAGUAGCUGGGAUUACAGGUGUGUACCACCGUGCCUGGCAGUUAUGUGUGUUUCCCUACAAUCAAACAAUGAUUUAUUGUAAAAAAAAAAAAAAUCAAAAUAAACAAAACCUGAAAACUUGUAUGUGCUCUUUUAAUCAAUCUUUUUAAACAAACUUUUAGAAGAGUUAACAUUAUUAAAAACUGGAAAGAUCAGACAUGGUUUUUUCUUACUAAGAUAUCACUGGCUGUUUUGAUUCUUUCAUCACGUACAAGUUUAG